rnacentral:rRNA from 1 species
UUCGACCUGAGCUCAGGCAAGGCUACCA